rnacentral:lncRNA from 1 species
CCAUAUGGGGUAAAAAUGGGUCGAGUGUUCAUGAGAUGAAAUUAGGUGUUUAAAUAAUGUUAUAGUUGACAUUGUGCAUAUAUACAUGCAUUCGGCCAUCUAAUUGAGUAUGAAGGUGGUGUUAAAUCUAAUUGUGAUGCCCAUUUCGAAGUAUAUAUAUAUACAUAUAUAUGUAUAUAUAUAUAAGUAUGCCCAUUCGUGAUGUUACCUUUAAUUAUGUGUAUAAUCGACUAAAUGGGUAAUUAGUGAGGAUGGUUGCCGAAUAUACAAACAUACAUGUGCAUGUGUAAUUGAAUUAUGAAUGUUUAGCAA